GAGGAAGGAAGGGAGAGAGAGACAGAGACAGGAAGGAAGGGAGAGAGAGACAGGAAGGAAGGGAGAGAGAGACAGGAAGGAAGGGAGAGAGAGAGAGAGACAGGAAGGAAGGGAGAGAGAGAGAGCAAACAAAAGACGUGAAAAUGAGGUGAUGAGGAAGACAAAGACAAAGAGCCAGAAGGAGAGGUGAGGCUGAGGGGAGGGACCAUGGAAGAGCCAGAAGGAGAGGUGUGGCUGAGGGGAGGGACCAUGGAAGAGCCAGAAGGAGAGGUGAGGCUGAGGGGAGGGACCAUGGAAGAGCCAGAAGGAGAGGUGUGGCUGAGGGGAGGGACCAUGGAAGAGCCAGAAGGAGAGGUGUGGCUGAGGGGAGGGACCAUGGAAGAGCCAGAAGGAGAGGUGAGGCUGAGGGGAGGGACCAUGGAAGAGCCAGAAGGAGAGGUGUGGCUGAGGGGAGGAACCAUGGAAGGGAAGAACCAAUCGCCAUGUUGUGACCAUGCCAACUAUCUUCAGAAUAGAAGGGGUUGAUGUCAGAGUCUCAGAUUGUAAACUGAAUGAGGACUCCAACUAUCUUCA